rnacentral:rRNA from 1 species
CCCCUAGAUGUUCUGGGCCGCACGCGCGCUACACUGAACAGUUCAACAAGUCUUAACCUUGGCCGAUAGGGCUGGGUAAUCUUUGAACGCUGUUCGUGAUUGGGAUAGACCUUUGCAAUUAUGGGUCUUCAACGAGGAAUUCCUAGUAAACGCAAGUCAUCAGCUUGCAUUGAUUACGUCCCUGCCCUUUGUACACACCGCCCGUCGCACCUACCGAUUGAAUGGUCCGGUGAAAUCUCGGGACGGCGGCUUGGUCGCUUGCGUCCGACUGCUGAAACUUGAUUAAACCAUAUCAUUCAGAGGAAGGUGAAGUCGUAACA